rnacentral:rRNA from 1 species
UUUCGCAAUGCCCGAAAGGGUGACGAAGCGACGCCGCGUGUGGGAAGAAGGCCUUCGGGUUGUAGACCACUGUCGGGAGUUAGGAAAUGUAAGGGUGCUAAUAGUAUCCUUACUUGACUAAGGCUCCGGAGGAAGCCACGGCUAACUCUGUGCCAGCAGCCGCGGUAAUACAGAGGCGGCAAGCGUUGUUCGAAAUUAUUGGGCGUAAAGAGCACGUAGGCGGCCUUGUAAGUCAGUUGUGAAAGCCUUCUGCUUAACGGAAGAACAGCAGCUGAUACUGCAAGGCUAGAGUGCGGAAGGGGAGAGUGGAACUUCUGGUGGAGCGGUGAAAUGCGUAGAUAUCAGAAGGAACACCGGCGGCGAAGGCGACUCUCUGGUCCGUAACUGACGCUGAGUGUGCGAAAGCUAGGGGAGCAAACGGGAUUAGAUACCCCGGUGGUCCUAGCCGUAAACGAUGGGCACUAAGUAGAGGGGUUUUA